ensembl:lncRNA
GUGUGUGAAUGAGGACUCCCCGCUGGAAUCUGUGCCGAGCAAAGCCCGGGCGAGGAAUGGAUCCACGCGCCUUGGAGCUGUGUUUGAGUGGGGGAGAGCGGGCAUGGCUGAAGGUUUGUCACUUGCCCUGGCUGUCCCAGGUGUGGGCUGAAGGACAAACUCGAAUGGCCUUGAAAGCUCUGAAGAUGCUGCUUCAAAUGAAAACAAAGCUGUUAAUGGCAGUGAUUCUCCACUCCUCACAAAUGGAAGCUGCAAACCGUCUCGACCUCCCAGGCCUUCUAGACCACCUCCACCCACAGCCCGCAGACCCACAUCAGUGGCUGGUACGUCUUCUAGGGCCAGACAUGCACUUCAAAGCUGUGGAUUCUCUGUACAGUCUUAAGAUGGACAUAACGUUUCCUCACGCGUGUUUUGAACUGCAAUUUUUUUCAUGGUAAAUUCUUGGAUAUAUAACUUGUAUUGGAACAGUUUGCAUUCAGUAUCAUUGUUCCUCUUACGAGUAAUUUCUUGUUUCCAUGACUGAUAAGUGAGGAUUGGAGUGAUUCUGCUAAAUAUGUUGGAGCUGGUGCCCAAAGAACACGAGUGAGUGCCACAGUUGCAUUCAGUUAAUUUUAAGGAGACCUGUGUCUGCUGAAGGACUUACAGAACUGUCUCAAGUAGAUCAUAGUGGGGCUUGAAAGACGAGUAAUUUGUUUCUGCAGUCCUGGUUAAAUUACUUGAAACAGCAGCCCUUCAAACAUUGAUUGCAUGGGAACAAAUGCGUUUUUUAGUCUCUCUUAUAAUUUAGAACCUGCAAAGCUUUAAGACAGUGCUAGGUGCUUUCAGGUUAACUCCUCCCCAUGCAUGGCUCCUGCAACUGCUGCACUCACCACACCUCCAGUAUCAAGACAAGUCCAGCCAGUAACUCCUGCAACUCAGGCACUACCUACAGUCAGUCAAGGUCCUCUUCCACCUGGAACAUCGAGGACCGUGAGCGGCUGAGAAAUGGAGCUGGGGGCCAGGGGGGCCAUAGGUGCCUGUGUCACAAACUUCCUGUGUGGCCCCUGCAAGCUCCUGCUCCCCUCGCCUGCAAGUGGAGCAGUGCUCAAGUUGGAGGAGUCUUUUCCUCGGCAGGCGGUAAAAGACGGCGCAGCUGCAAGUUUUGUGCCCUUCCUUGUGACUGGAAAGCAGCCUCCUGGAGAGCGGGAGAGCAGCAGGCUGUUGCUGUGUGGCUGCUGAAGGGCAUUUCUCCCCAGCUGAGAUCCCUGAGCCCACGCUGGCGGAGAAUGUGCUGCGCCACGAUCUCUUCUGUGAGCCACUUUGCAGCUUCUCUGUGCGCUGGCUGUAAUCGUGCCGGAUUCCAGGUGCCAUAAGCCAGACUCGCUCAGUCUUGGGACUAAGGCUUGGGAGACAGUGAAGAAACCCAAGGCAAGCAACCCAAGCUGAAACACAAGGCAAGCGCUGCUCAGCUGAGGAAGAAAGCCAAGAAGGAAAGCAAAAAGAACCGAUAAAGGCUUGACGAGAAGGCCCACAGGACACUAGAAUCACCUGGAAUGCUUCCUCAGAGGUGGCACCAAAGGCAGCUGACGGAGUGGUCUGGUUUUCUGGCACGGCCUGCUUUCCUUGUCACGGACAGUGCGGAGGAGCCAAGGCAACUGGAAGGGAAGGGCUUGUGCUGCAUUCCAAGCAAAGAGGACUUGCCGGAGGCAGGGCUUCAUCUCUGGCAAGAGAUGCAGAUGCUGUGUUCUUUGAGGUGCUGUCUCUUCAGGGCCAGGGCCGGUCUAGUAUGAGAUUGAAAUACGGCUAGCCGGGCCUGGAGAGAGAGGAGGUGACGUAGCCCCAGGGUCAGGCUUCUCCUUGUGUCUGACUGGAGGCUGAAGGACUCAUUGCUGAGCAGAAAUCCUGCACGCUGGGGUUUCAUUUUGGGCUGCGUUGAUAAAUACAACCCAAAUCCUUUUGUAUUGAAUAAAAGGAAACCAACUUUUUAAAACUGGUGCUGC